rnacentral:rRNA from 1 species
GAUUUCUGGCGAGACAUAUCUGGCCGGCCACGGUUUCGUGUGUUAGUGCUUGAUGUUCUGGCCAUCCUUCCAAUUGCUAUUCACUUCUCUUCAUUGAUUGGUGAGUGGUAUUGGAUCUUUUACUUUGAAAAAAUUAGAGUGUUUCAAGCAGGCUUUAUGCUAUGAAUACAUUAGCAUGGAAUAAUAAUUUAGGACUUCGGUUCUAUUUUGUUGGUUUCUAGGACUGAAGUAAUGAUUGAUAGGGAUAGUUGGGGGUGCUAGUAUUCAGCGGCCAGAGGUGAAAUUCUCGGAUUCGCUGAAGACUAACUUAUGCGAAAGCAUU